UCCUAGGUGUAUACAGUCCACCAGAGGCUGAUUGGUUUGAUAAAGUUGAGGUUGCUGGAACACAACCCUUUGUCACACAAGAGAAUGUUAAUUCUUCAAAAAAUUGUUGGAACUUAUGUUGGAACACUCCAAAAUGUUCUUGGUUUAGCUUUGAAGAAGAAUAUAAAAAAUGUGAUUUAUUGAUGGAAGAUGUUAGUUUGGUUAGAUUGCAGAAAUCUAGUUCCCAUCUGUCUGGUCCUCUAGCUUUCCUACAAGGAAGAAAUAAACAGAUAGAGAAUAAAUGUCCAAGUGAAUAUCCUCAAGCGUUUAAUAAUGGGACCCAAUGCUGCAAAGCCAAGAAAUAUUCAGGUGCAGUAUAAUAUUUUUUAACAUGAAAAACAAAUUAAAAUACAUGAUAAAAUUU